UACGAAGGGGGCUAGCGUUGUUCGGAAUUACUGGGCGUAAAGCGCACGUAGGCGGAUAUUUAAGUCAGGGGUGAAAUCCCAGAGCUCAACUCUGGAACUGCCUUUGAUACUGGGUAUCUUGAGUAUGGAAGAGGUAAGUGGAAUUGCGAGUGUAGAGGUGAAAUUCGUAGAUAUUGCAGGAACACCAGUGGCGAAGGCGGCUUACUGGUCCAUAACUGACGCUGAGGUGGCGAAAAGCG
rnacentral:rRNA from 1 species